CCUGGGGUGAAGGGAAAUGCCACAGACAUCCAUGGUCUUGGAUGCUCAACAGAAGUGCUUGCCUUGGUGAUCCAAAAAAGGCAGGAUCCGGCCGGGGGCAAGGUGAUUAUUCUGUCUGAUGAGGAGAAUAAGAGCCAGUUUGUGGUAUUGACAGAAGAAUGAAAGUAAAGUCUUGAAAGAUGGGAAGAUCAGGAGCAGUCUGGAGUCAUGGUAUAUGAAUGAACUAGUGAGAGUGGGCACAAAGUCUGAAGAUCUUUGUAGUGCAGCUAAUGUCUAAGGGAGAAUAUACCUACCCUAGAAGAGACAUUAAACAACCAGGAAGCUUACUGCAGGAAAGAAAUCCCUCAGAGUCCUGAAGAUACAGCUUUCAGAACUUAGGUGAAGCAAGAGGACUCAAGUUCAACCAAUCUACAAAGGCCAAAAAUAUUUUCACAGGCCCCCAAAAGAUGAACUCCAAUCUGCUGCCCCUAAACGCAUUCUCCACUGUCUGGAAGAUGUGCAAAGGCAACGGCACAGCGUUCUCCAUCUCAAAUCCUUCAAAGUGCUGUCAGAAUAAAAGAAUCCCCACCAAAAGCCCCAGGGAAAUCUAUCUGUCUGUAUGGUAUGGUAAUGACUGAGGUUAUUCCAGAUAGGAUUCUGGGAGAAACUCAGCUAUUGAAAUCUAAUGAAUGGAACUGAGAAUUUCUUGUUAUAAUACUGUUUGUUUGAUUGAAUAUAUCCUUGCAUAUAGGAAGACAUAAAAAUAAAUAAUAAAAGCAAGAUAUUAUUUGAA
rnacentral:lncRNA from 1 species